UGAAUAUAUAGCAUGGAGACCAGAGCUCGGCGCCUUUUGCAGCCUCCAUUUUGCAACUGGCCCCCUGGCUCCCACCUUUAUGAACUCUUAACCUGUCUCUUCUCAAUCCUUUGUCGCCACCGGACUUCGGGUACCCUACGGGUGGUGUUGAGGCUGGUCCCCAACACAGCAGCAGUUGGGAUCUGGAAGUCAGCCCCAGGAAGCAGCCAACAAACAGAUUAGUGGAGCAUUGCCAGGGGAGUCCCAGAAAGAGCUGAGCAACACUUUGAUGGAGCUUCUGUGAGCUGUCAUCAGUGGAGAGCUCUGGCCACAGCCCAUACUAUCCUGGUGUCCUUGGGAAGUAAAGAAGGUAAGGAGUGAUCUGAAGUGGAGCUCUUUGGACUGUUUCUGGGUUGCCAGUUGUUGUGGCUAUGGUUUGGUUUUUCCCAGCACCCUUUCCCCCUGCUUCUGCUGGCAAUGGAUCAUGUCCCACCUCCUCGCUAUCACAGUGACUAGUCACUGGGUCAGUAACACUCUGACUGUAACCAACACGACGGGUGGUUCAAUCACCUGACAGGUGUCAGUCCCAUG
rnacentral:lncRNA from 1 species